CCUACGGGAGGCUGCAGUGGGGAAUUUUGGACAAUGGGCGCAAGCCUGAUCCAGCCAUGCCGCGUGCGGGAAGAAGGCCUUCGGGUUGUAAACCGCUUUUGUCAGGGAAGAAAAGGCUUCUGCUAAUACCGGAGGCUCAUGACGGUACCUGAAGAAUAAGCACCGGCUAACUACGUGCCAGCAGCCGCGGUAAUACGUAGGGUGCAAGCGUUAAUCGGAAUUACUGGGCGUAAAGCGUGCGCAGGCGGUUAUGCAAGACAGAGGUGAAAUCCCCG
rnacentral:rRNA from 1 species